AUAUUUCAACCAGUUACAGUCAAUAAGCGUUUUUCUAAAAUCAGCUUUUAAUAAUUCUAGUGCAGGAAUCUACCUUUUGUCAAGUUACAGAUGUUUUCCUCACAACAUUAAAAAAAUAAUAAUUAGAAAACUGGUUGAACUAUGCUGCAAAAUAAGGUUUUUAGGACUUUCAAAUAGAAAUGUCUUUCUAAUAUUUAAACUGGCCAACAAGUAAGAUUAGUAAGAGUUUGAAUGCAUUACUUUUACUAGUAGUAGAGUUUUUCCAUUCCUCCAUUACUACUUAAGUAAAUAAUCUGUAUAUUUAACUCCCAUCUGUUUAUUUAAACUCACAGUCAGACUCAGGGUCAUCUGAAGCGCAAUAGGAGACCUUGGCUGAUACAGUUUGGACUGUAGUGAAACAAGCCAUUGUUCCUCAGUGAGUGUGUCAUCUCCGUGGUUAAACAGUGACUCAUCUGUCCUUCGCCUCUGAAGCCUCAGCUGUCUGAACUGAUUGAUAGAACAGAGACUAAGGCAAAGGACUGCGAGCCAUGAAGCUGUAUUCAAUUUUUUCUCGACAUCACAGCAGUGAAAAUGACUAAUAUUUGUGUCCAGGUCAUUAAUAGAGAAACUGAGGCAUCAUAAAUCUACUGAAAGUGAUCACUUCAGCACAGCAUCACAGACAAUAGGCGUGAAGAUGACAGGCACAGGAAGACUGAGAUGAGAUGAAGCUGCUGCAGGUCGCCCAUCCCUGCCUCCUGACCAGAGGAAAAGAAAAUGUGCAGCCUAUCCAGAAUUAGUGGUCCAAAAGCAACAAGGUGAGACUGAGAACAUUUGUGUACAAUUUCAAAAACUAAAUCUGACAAUAGGCUGUAUUUUGGCAUAAUUUGUAUCAACAAAUGGUACAAACUUUGAGAGAUACAUUUGAAAAAUUAAAAUUCACAGCAUGAAUUGAGCAGGAGCCAUUAAGCUGUCAAGCACUUUUCACAUUUCUUUGAAGCCACUGGAUGGCACAUCAACAUCUCCACCCUUCUGUACCUUUGGUUGAAAAACAAAUCAGCGCCUCUUCACUAAAGGACAAUGCAACAAUCAGCACCGUCUGCUGAAGCCAAAGCCGUUUUUUUCACUUCAUUAUACUCUGAGGGGUUGCUAUUCUCCACUUGGCUUUUAUGCAUUCUUACUAGUGUAGCUGUGCCAAAAAUGUAAUUAAAAGAUGGGUUAUUAAUCUCAUGCUAGUGGCACAGAGACAAAAUAAAACUGCAUUAAUUUCAGCCUGUCUCUAUGCGCACAAGAGUGAGAGGUGAGAGUGAGUGUGUGUUUGUGUGUUCAGGUCUAUUAUCAGCUGUACUCCCUGCUUAUGACUAAUGUGUAAGCCACAUCUGCUCGCAGCCUAGAUGCCUCUCAGUCAGCCAUAUCUUGCCUGGACCAUCCAUCUGGCUCUGGCUGAGUGGCAGAGGGAACGCGAGAAACAAUCAGCGCCACCAUCCUGCCCUCUAAACUGCGGGGUCCAAAAAAUACCAUUAAUGGCCCACGUCGAUGAAAAUCACAACCACCGUAGGCGAGGAGGUAAGACAUACAGCAAUUCUGCACAUAGUGCCCCAGUCAGAGUUAAUAACUGAACAGUUAUCAGAAACACCGAUGGUUGUUAGCUGAAAGUUGCCUAGGAGAUGGAGGCGACAGAACAGAAAAUGAAACCCUUCCAAGACAAAGUGGCAACCUUUGUGACCUUGAAGAACCAAUCCCAGAGUGCAAAAACCCACCCUGAGGUGCCAAAGUGACAACUCUCUUCUCUCACUUGUUUCAAGAGCAUAUACUAUUACCUUUAGACACUUUUUUUGUCAUCUGUCAGCAUAAAAGCCAGGGGACCACAGUGACCUAAAAUAACAGUUUACUAAACCCCACCUUUAAAGAGUGAUUGCCCAAUAACAGAUUGGCAGCCAUAACCAGACACAGCACACAUGUCAGGUCUAGCCAAGUCACUGUGUUGUAUUUCCCCUAUCAAAGUCUAGGUUUACAUUUGCAGCUCUGACUUGCACUCUAUUAGAUUUGGGUAAGUUUUGAUUAGUUGUCAUCCUCAACAUGCUGUUUAAAAAUAAGCUAAAAAAAAAAAAAACUAAGCAGCCAAACACAAUUAUGUUACAAACAAAGUAACUGCCUCUUU